rnacentral:rRNA from 1 species
GACGAACGCUGGCUGCGUGCUUAACACAUGCAAGUCGAACGGAAAGGCCCUGCUUUUGUGGGGUGCUCGAGUGGCGAACGGGUGAGUAACACGUGAGUAACCUGCCCUUGACUUUGGGAUAACUUCAGGAAACUGGGGCUAAUACCGGAUAGGAGCUCCUGCUGCAUGGUGGGGGUUGGAAAGUUUCGGCGGUUGGGGGUGGACUCGCGGCUUAUCAGCUUGUUGGUGGGGUAGUGGCUUACCAAGGCUUUGACGGGUAGCCGGCCUGAGAGGGUGACCGGCCACAUUGGGACUGAGAUACGGCCCAGACUCCUACGGGAGGCAGCAGUGGGGAAUAUUGCACAAUGGGCGGAAGCCUGAUGCAGCAACGCCGCGUGCGGGAUGACGGCCUUCGGGUUGUAAACCGCUUUCGCCUGUGACGAAGCGUGAGUGACGGUAAUGGGUAAAGAAGCACCGGCUAACUACGUG